AUCUAGCCAACGAGUCCCAAAUAGGACGAAACGCGCGUCUUGGAU
rfam:Schistosoma mansoni strain Puerto Rico chromosome W, complete genome